GACGAACGCUGGCGGCGUGCCUAAUACAUGCAAGUUGAGCGCUGAAGGUUGGUACUUGUCCCGACUGGAUGAGCAGCGAACGGGUGAGUAACGCGUGGGGAAUCUGCCUUUGAGCGGGGGACAACAUUUGGAAACGAAUGCUAAUACCGCAUAAAAACUUUAAACACAAGUUUUAAGUUUGGAAGAUGCAAUUGCAUCACUCAAAGAUGAUCCCGCGUUGUAUUAGCUAGUUGGUGAGGUAAAGGCUCACCAAGGCGAUGAUACAUAGCCGACCUGAGAGGGUGAACGGCCACAUUGGGACUGAGACACGGCCCAAACUCCUACGGGAGGCAGCAGUAGGGAAUCUUCGGCAAUGGACGAAAGUCUGACCGAGCAACGCCGCGUGAGGGAAGAAGGUUUUCGGAUCGGAAAACUCUGUUGGUAGAGAAGAACGUUGGUGAGAGUGGAAAGCUCAUCAAGUGACGGUAACUACCCAGAAAGGGACGGCUAACUACGUG
rnacentral:rRNA from 1 species